GACGAACGCUGGCGGUGUGCCUAAUACAUGCAAGUCGAGCGAGGGUCUUCGGACCCUAGCGGCGGACGGGUGAGUAACACGUAGGCAACCUGCCCAUAAGACUGGGAUAACAUAGGGAAACUUAUGCUAAUACCGGAUAGAGUCUUCUCCCGCAUGAGAGGAGACGGAAAGGUGGCGCAAGCUACCACUUAUGGAUGGGCCUGCGGCGCAUUAGCUAGUUGGUGGGGUAACGGCCCACCAAGGCGACGAUGCGUAGCCGACCUGAGAGGGUGACCGGCCACACUGGGACUGAGACACGGCCCAGACUCCUACGGGUGGCUG
rnacentral:rRNA from 1 species